rnacentral:rRNA from 1 species
AUUGAACGCUGGCGGCAGGCCUAACACAUGCAAGUCGAACGAGUGGCGGACGGGUGAGUAAUGUCUGGGAAACUGCCUGCUGGAGGGGGAUAACUACUGGCCACGGUAGCUAAUACCGCAUACCAUCGGAUGUGCCCAGAUAGGAUUAGCUCGUAGGUGGGGUAAAGGCUCACCUAGACGACGAUCCCUAGCUGGUCUGAGAGGAUGACCAGCCACAGUGGAACUGAGACAAGGUCCAGACUCCUACGGGAGGCAGCAGUGGGGAAUAUUGCACAAUGGGCUCAAGCCUGAUGCAGCCAUGGCGCGAGUAUGAAGAAGGCCUUCAGGUUGUAAAGUACUUUCAGCGGGGAGGCGUUACCCGCAGAAGAAGCACCGGCUAACUCCGUGCCAGCAGCCGCGGUAAUAC